UGAACUUUUCCUGGUUUCUUUUUAGUACUGGUGGUGUGGUGUGGUCAUCACCAGCAAAGGUGCAGAGGUUGUUGCCCUACCAGCCCUGGGCAGUGAUGUGUGGCCAGCGUGGCAUGCAGGAUGUGAGCUCUGCCAGCUCCUCCCAAAGUGGGUGUCUGUCUGGAGGAGAAAAAAAUAGAAAAGUAGAAAAAGAAAAGGAGAAGAAUGAAAAAAAGGAUCAAAGUGUUAAUUGUAAAACGUCUUACUGUGCCAGUUGGAAAUGAAAGCAGGGCGACCGGUGAAAUAACCGAUGGGGAUGGAACUGAAGUGCAUUAUCCAGCAGCUCAUUAGAAUAAUGAGGAACCCACAAAGGACAUGGGAGACACAAACAAGCUUUGUUGCCCUGUCAUUAUUUUUAGGAGCAAUGUGAUACCACUCAGGGCUGGGUUAAUAACAGAUAAUUGCUUGUCUUUACUCUUGCUUUUUGCUCUCUCUUUUCUUCUUUUUCUUUUUUUUUUUUUCUUUGUUUCUUCCUUCCCUGAAUGGUUUUAUGGGAUGUGGACUUAGUAAUGUUGUGGCAAAGUGUCAUUUCCUCUUUUAUUGGAAUGACUCAAGUCUGCACAUUGUGGUGGAGGUCAGGAUCACGUUUAUGAAGUUUGCAUUGUGGUUAAUCAGUAGGAGCAAAGAAGUUUCCUUCUCUCUUUCUCUCUCUUCAUCUGUCUGGGGGGAGGUAACAAACCUUCAGUAAAUUUGCCUGUGUUGUGUUGUUCUGACAUGAGAUUGCUCUUGAAAUGAUGUCCACUGAAUUAAACCACAAAUCCUCUCAUAUUUGAGCUGUGCUUGAGCUCUGCAAGGUCCUAAGGGGAUGUAUGUAACAGCAUGGUUGAUUGGAGUGUGAAGAUGUUGGAAAAAGAACUAGAAAUACUGGGAUUUAGUGGAGACAGUCAGAAGAAAAUGUGACCAGAACACUCAAGGGGAAAUGGAGCUUCCCACAAAAUAAACACGGAUAGAUGAGUGAGAUAUUCAUUGUGUGUUGGUGGUUUUCAAGAUACUUACGUGCAGGGAAAUGGAGGCAGGGAGUUUUAUGCUCUUCAUAAAUACUCUUAAUUGUCCAGGAUCCGCAUAAGUUUAGACUGAAAAUACAAGCUUGGGUGUUUUUAUUUAUUUAUUUAUUUUCAUCCUCCAGUAUCAUGUCUCUGUAAGAAACAGUCAAAGUCCAGGUAAACAAAAAGCCUCUGGAAAUAUAGUUGUUCAAAUCUGAUCUGUUGCACUGGUAAAAUAAAUAAAUAAAUGUAGAAUGCUAUGCUAAAAGGUGUUAGUGCCUAUGAAAAGAGUAUUAGUGAAGAGACAGCCUAAUAAAAGGCAUCAAGUAGAGAAUUUUGUUGUGAAAUGGAAGUAAGCAUUAAGUUUAACUUCAUGGCUGUCGAUCUAGAUGGGUAAUGAAUUUAUAAGUGCCGACGUGGAACAAUAAACUGUAACCAAAGAUCAUAAAUAUUUUUUUGAGACACAUCAGUGUUAUACAUAGUGAGGGAGAAGAUGUGAAGUGUUGGGUGGAGAGGAGGUAGUUUGUGUUUCUCAUUCUCUUCUAUCAAAUAACAACUAUACAAUGGCCUUUGUAUGCAGUACUGGUAAAUUUUUUCAGUGAUAGAAAACAAGCUUUAGAUUGGGAAGAUUGUGUUAGUGACUGAUUCUUAUUGAUAAGUCAGGUGUUUAUAGUGUAUACAGUGCUCUUGGAUGUCUUGGAGGUAGAGGAGUGGGUACUGUCCUUAAGUUAUGCCAGGGUAUUUUCAGGUUGGAUAUUAGGAAAUGGUUGGAUAUCAGAACAGUGAUGCACUGGCCCAUGCUGUCCAGGGAGGUGGUGGUGGUGAAGUCACCAUCCCUGGAGGUGCUCAAGAAAAGGGUAGAUGUAGCAGUGAGUGACAUGAUUUAAUGGCAUGUUGGUGAGGGGUUGAUGGUUGGACUAGAUGAUCUUAGUGGUCUUUGCAACCUUAAUGAUUCUACAAAAUGUGGAAAAUAUAGAGGAUAUGAUUAUAAGCACUCACUCUUUAAUGCAAAAGUAGCUUUUAUAUUUUUUAGAGUAUCUUUCCUUGGGUGUGGUGUAACAGCUAGUGAAGAGGGAGAGAACUUAUGCAGGGAUAUACUGAAAAGGAACCAUUGCAAAAGCACGUGGCUGGAUGGGAUGAAUCUGAAAAAUGACACAGCUGUUAUUGUGUGCACUGGGUAAGUGCACAGUUGAAAGUUUUGUUUGUAAAGUAAGCUGAGCAUAGGAAUUACAGUGUAGAGCUCAUGCAGGUGGAGAUUCAGCCAACCUCUGGUCUAAAUCAUUGUCUCUUGGGAAGGAGUGUGGAAAAGUUUGUACCUGCACCUCUGGGGAUGGAAAUGCAAACGCAGCAGGAAUCUGUUUAGAA
ensembl:lncRNA